GGUCAAGUUAUUAAGGGUGCAGGGCGGAUGCCUUGGCACUAGGAGCCGAUGAAGGACGUGAUAAGCUGCGAUAAGCUUCGGGGAGUUGCACGUAAACUUUGAUCCGAAGAUUUCCGAAUGAGGAAACUCACUUAGAGUAAUGUCUAAGUAUCAUUAAGUGAAUACAUAGCUUAAUGAGGGGAACUCAGGGAACUGAAACAUCUAAGUACCUGAAGGAAGAGAAAGAAAUUCGAUUCCGUAAGUAGCGGCGAGCGAACGCGGAUUAGCCCAAACCAAUAAAGUUUUCUUUAUUGGGGUUGCGGACAUAUCAUAACGAAGAGGUAUCGUAAUUGAAGAGGUUUGGAAAGACCCACCACAGAAGGUAAUAGUCCUGUAUGUUAAACGAGAAGACUUUAGAUAUGAUCCAGAGUACCACGGGACACGUGAAACCCUGUGGGAAGCAGGAGGGACCACCCUCCAAGGCUAAAUACUACCUAGUGACCGAUAGCGUAUAGUACCGUGAGGGAAAGGUGAAAAGAACCCCGGGAGGGGAGUGAAAUAGAACCUGAAACCCUGCACUUACAAGCUGUGGAAGCACAUUUCUUGUGUGACCGCGUACUUUUUGUAGAACGGGCCAACGAGUUACGUUAAGUAGCAAGGUUAAGCACUUAAGGUGCGGAGCCGUAGCGAAAGCGAGUUUUAACUGAGCGUUCAGUUACUUGACGUAGACCCGAAACCGGGCGACCUACCCAUGAGCAGGAUGAAGCGAAAGUAAAAUUUCGUGGAGGUCCGAACCCACGAGCGUUGAAAAGCUCGGGGAUGACUUGUGGGUAGCGGUGAAAUUCCAAUCGAGCCCGGAGAUAGCUGGUUCUCCCCGAAAUAGCUUUAGGGCUAGCCUCAAGGUGAGAGAUACGGAGGUAGAGCACUGAAUGUCCUAGGGGGUAUUGCACCUACCGAAGACUAUCAAACUCCGAAUGCCGUCAUCUUAUACUUGGGAGUCAGACUGUGGGUGAUAAGAUUCAUAGUCGAAAGGGCAACAGCCCAGAUCGUCAGCUAAGGUCCCUAAAUGUAAGUUAAGUGGUAAAGGAUGUGGGAUUGCACAGACAACCAGGAUGUUGGCUUAGAAGCAGCCACUCAUUCAAAGAGUGCGUAAUAGCU
rnacentral:rRNA from 1 species